AUGAAACAAAGUCGUGUCUUCAGCCUACAAUCUUAAUACUAAAAUCAGCAUUUUUAAAAUACAAUUUUAGGAAUAAUAUAUUGAAAUUUUAGGAAUAAUAUAAAAAAUCCGGCUGAUAAAAUCCUUUUAAACAUGAUUGACCCUUUUCCUUUACCCGUUUAACGACCAGUUCUUCUGAAUACACCGCUUAAUGCCUCAACCUUUCGCCCAUGGAAGAAUGAGACGACUCACCUGCAACAGUCCAAAACACCCACCUCUGUGCAAAGAGUGCAAAUCGAAUCUAUCAAAGUACACACGCCCAGGUUGUUUUGUACGCUCCUGUAGUCUUCCUUGUGUUAAAGCUCACAAGCAACACACUAGGUGUACGGGCAAGAGGCAGCGGACCCAGUUCUUUCCCCUCUCUCAAUUUGACGAUAAUCUUCUCUUAUCUGAUUAUAAUUUGUUCGAGGAAGUGAAGAGGGUCGCAGAAUCUGCUCAGAGAACAAGAAUUAAUUUGUUUGGGUAUUCUCAUUUUAAGAUUCCAUCCCAUCUUCAAGGCCUUAGGAAUGCUGCAGAGUCACAGGACGAAAGUCCUAUUUCUCCCCAGUGGAGUGUCGAAGAAGGAGAAAAAUAAAUCUCAAUACAACCAAAGAAUAAAUGCAAACUGAACCCUCUCAUCUGUAAUUGAGAACCAUCUAAAGCCCCGGCCAUGGAAUCAUAAGUUUCAUUCCAUGCAGAGCAGUUGCACUGUCUCAAAACUUUUGCUCGUAAAUACCCAAAGGACCCCAGGUCACCUUUCCGUGAGUUGGAUAUAAGAGCUCCAAUAAGACAACAAUUAGCAAAUUUCGUUAUUCUGGAGCACUCUCUGAUUCAUGUUUUCUUCCCUUCACAUAGCUAUGAUUUCAAUGUCAUUAAAGAUGUCAAUCCCUGUUGUCAUCAGUCAGAGCUUAAGGAGUCUGUUGCCAUUGAUCACCCAAGUUCAGAAGGCAUUUCAUUCAGGGAAAAGGAAAUAGAAGAACAUGGUGGUUCUUCAGAUCCUUAGGUUCUAGAUCUCAUGAAACAUGUGAAUCUUCAGAAGCUAAUGAGCCACAGUCCAGCCCCCAGAAGAAGGAACCGGGUGAAAACUUGGAUUUUGAUUUUGAUCAAGGCUUGCUUGAUGCAUACUCUGAUAUAUUUGCUCAAAUUAAUCCUGAUGAUUUUCUUGAUUGGGAAGGUGACGUUUCCAAGGAAGUGAAAUCUGAAGAAAGAAUAGAUUGUUCAGAUCUUGGUAGAGUUUUCCCAGUGGAGGAAUUAGAGGAAGAGCAGAUUCCGGGGUGCUGAACAAUUGAAUGCUCAUUGAUCUGUUCAAGAUGAAUAAGAACUCAAAACUGAAGGAUCAUUUCCCUGUAGUAAUCUCUAAACAUUAUGAAGCAAAGUCCUCAAUUCUCUGUGCAUGACAAAUUCCCAUUUGGAUAGAGCCUAAGGAGGCUGUGAAUUGAGUGAUUGUGGGCACGACACCUCCAUCGCUUUGUGAUCAAUGGCAAUGUUUAUGGUUGAAACCACAGUCUCUGUUGGUGGGGUUUCUCAAGUUCUAAAAGAGCCUGGCUUCUUGAUCAUCAUCAGAUUUCUUCAGAGGGCACACGCAUAGACAUCUUGGAGCAGCACUUACUGUCAUGGAAGGUACAGUCUAAGUGUUUCUUUCACAACUGCUUGCAAGUAGGGGAGGUUUGAGAUAUUUGGUUCUGACAGCAAGUUUAGGAAGUCAAAUCAAUUUUAUUACUGCAAUUGAUAUAUUUUAGGAAGGCUCAUAUCUUCUUUUUUGUUUUUAUUUUUUUGAGAUAUUAUUUCCUGAUCUUCAUGACAGAUUUUAGGGAAUCAGUUCCUAUUUUCCAUCUACUUUAACUGUACAUAUCUUUGUAGAGACUCAUCAUUCAAAUCAAUAUACAAAAUUUUGCAGUGUUUCUCCUUGUCAAAGGUCAUGGAAGGUAGUCUUAAGUGUUUCUUUCACAACUGCUUGCAAGUAGGGGAGGUUUGAGACAUCUGGUUCUGGUGGCAAGUUUAGGAAGUCGAAUCAAUUUUAUUAUUGUAAUUGAUGUAUUUUAGGAAGGUUCAUACAUUCUUUUCUGUUUUAGGGAAUCAGUUCCUAUUUUCCAUCUACCACAUAUCUUUGUAGAGACUCAUCUUUCAAAUCAAUGUACAAAAUUCAUUUUUACCACA